ACCGCGAGUAUCCGGGCAAUGUAGGGGAUAAGGGGCAGGUUCAGGACCAGCAGAACCAGAUUCCCGAGAUACAUCGAGAUGAUGACCGACCAGAAAAUCUCGGGUGAAUCGACCAUCAGACGCGGGCC
rnacentral:ncRNA from 1 species